AACAAACGCUGGCGGCGUGCCUAAUACAUGCAAGUCGAACGGGGAAAGCUUUCGGGUGAGUACUAGUGGCGCACGGGUGAGCAACGCGUGGAUAAUCUGCCUUAGAGUGGGGGAUAACUAGUCGAAAGAUUAGCUAAUACCGCAUAAGACCACAAGAACUGCGGUUCAAGAGGUCAAAGGUUUUUCGCUCUAAGAUGAGUCCGCGUAAGAUUAGCUAGUUGGUGAGGUAACGGCUCACCAAGGCAACGAUCUUUAACUGGUCUGAGAGGAUGAUCAGUCACACUGGAACUGAGACACGAUCCAGACUCCUACGGGAGGCGGCAGUAGGGAAUAUUGCACAAUGGAGGAAACUCUGAUGCAGCGACGCCGCGUGAGUGAUGAAGGCCUUCGGGUCGUAAAGCUCUGUCGCAGGGGAAUAACACAAUGAAUGUACCCUGUAAGAAAGGAUCGGCUAACUUCGUGCCAGCCGCCGCGGUAACAC
rnacentral:rRNA from 1 species